rnacentral:rRNA from 1 species
CCUAACACAUGCAAGUCGAACGGUAACAGGAAGAAGCUUGCUUCUUUGCUGACGAGUGGCGGACGGGUGAGUAAUGUCUGGGAAACUGCCUGAUGGAGGGGGAUAACUACUGGAAACGGUAGCUAAUACCGCAUAACGUCGCAAGACCAAAGAGGGGGACCUUCGGGCCUCUUGCCAUCGGAUGUGCCCAGAUGGGAUUAGCUAGUAGGUGGGGUAACGGCUCACCUAGGCGACGAUCCCUAGCUGGUCUGAGAGGAUGACCAGCCACACUGGAACUGAGACACGGUCCAGACUCCUACGGGAGGCAGCAGUGGGGAAUAUUGCACAAUGGGCGCAAGCCUGAUGCAGCCAUGCC